AUUGAACGCUGGCGGCAUGCCUUACACAUGCAAGUCGAACGGCAGCACGGGAGCAAUCCUGGUGGCGAGUGGCGAACGGGUGAGUAAUACAUCGGAACGUGCCCAGUAGUGGGGGAUAACCCGGCGAAAGCCGGACUAAUACCGCAUACGACCUACGGGUGAAAGCAGGGGAGUCGCAAGACCUUGCGCUAUCGGAGCGGCCGAUGUCAGAUUAGCUAGUUGGCGGGGUAAAAGGACCCACCAAGGCGACGAUCUGUAGCUGGUCUGAGAGGACGACCAGCCACACUGGGACUGAGACACGGCCCAGACUCCUACGGGAGGCAGCAGUGGGGAAUUUUGGACAAUGGGCGCAAGCCUGAUCCAGCCAUGCCGCGUG
rnacentral:rRNA from 1 species